rnacentral:rRNA from 1 species
UACGUAGGGGGCAAGCGUUGUCCGGAUUUAUUGGGCGUAAAGAGCGUGUAGGCGGCCAGGUAGGUCUGCUGUGAAAACUCGAGGCUCAACCUCGAGAUGUCGGCGGAAACCAUCUGGCUAGAGUCCGGAAGAGGAGAAUGGAAUUCCCGGUGUAGCGGUGAAAUGCGCAGAUAUCAGGAAGAACACCCGUGGCGAAAGCGGCUCUCUGGAACGGUACUGACGCUGAGACGCGAAAGCGUGGGGAGCGAACAGG